rnacentral:rRNA from 1 species
AGAACGAACGCUGGCGGCAGGCUUAACACAUGCAAGUCGAGCGCCCCGCAAGGGGAGCGGCAGACGGGUGAGUAACGCGUGGGAAUCUACCCAUCUCUACGGAACAACUCCGGGAAACUGGAGCUAAUACCGUAUACGUCCUUCGGGAGAAAGAUUUAUCGGAGAUGGAUGAGCCCGCGUUGGAUUAGCUAGUUGGUGGGGUAAUGGCCUACCAAGGCGACGAUCCAUAGCUGGUCUGAGAGGAUGAUCAGCCACACUGGGACUGAGACACGGCCCAGACUCUACGGGAGGCAGCAGUGGGAAUAUGGACAAUGGGCGAAAGCCUGAUCCAGCCAUGCCGCGUGAGUGAUGAAGGCCCUAGGUUGUAAGCUCUUCACCGGUGAAGAUAAUGACGGUAACGAGAAGAGCCCGGCUAACUUCGUGCCGAGCGAAGCCGAC